GGCCCGGGCCGACGCCGCAGCCCGCGUUGGGGCGCACGGCCCUCUCCCCGCCGGGCUUUGUGAGGCUGGACCGGCCCGGGUCGGCUGAACCUGCAUCCGGGUCCCUCGCUACCUUCAGUCCUGCGGGCUCCUCCUCCCUCGAGCAGUGAGACGCCUGAGGAGACGAGAAAUGGCGGCGGGAGGCGUCCACCUGGGCAUCUCCUCCUUUUCACGCGAGCGGGCCCCUCGGGAACUGCCCCUCUGAAGCGCUUCACCUGAGACGGCGGAGGAUGCUUCGGGGGCAGAGCCGCUUUAACGGGGCGUGAAGCUGGGGCCGGAGCCGGAAGGACGGGCGGGAAGGGGACGCCGCUGAGGUGCAGGGUUGGUUCCCUAGCGAUGGUGCCAUCUGAGAGACCUCUGUCUCAGGAAAGCCCCCAGGAAUGUUGGUGACUGAUUGAAAGCCAACCAUGGUAUGAUUUCUCUCGGGCUGGCCAUACGUUUGAGUUCUUGCCAACGAAAUGGAAGCGGAAAAGCUGCAGAGUUGGUGGUGAACGCGUCAUGCCGAUGAUCGGUUGUGGCUCUGGGCACCUGAAACCUGUGUAGUUUUGUUAACCAGUAUUCCCCCCCCCCCCAAUAAAUUCAAUAAAAGGGGUGGGAAGAAAUUGAAGAUACAAAUAAGUGGAAACAUAUAAAAAUAAUUUCUACAAAUUUGUAAAAAAAAAAAAAAAUUCUGCAGAGUGGGUCUUUUGAAAAGAAUUGCCCAUUCCUAAUAAAAGGGGCAAAUUCAGCAGACAUGCUCCUUAACCCUUAGUUCUUUCUGCCUGAAACAUGCUCCUGAUGCACUGAGUAAUACAGCAUCCAUUUUGAUUUUUUUUUUGACAAUGAAACCACAAACAAGAUAAAUGCCACCAUAAAGUUGAUAGUACAUUAGUAUAAGGUGUGGGUGGAUCACUGAUACAUCCUUGAGCAGCUUCUAUCCCCUGCUUAUGUAAGAAAAAUCCCUUUUCCUUAAUCCACACUUAUAUUUCCAUUAUUUGUACCCUAACUGAUUCAGCUUUUCUUUUGAUAAUUACUUGUAAGUUAACUGUCAACUAUGCUUUUAAGACCACAGAGGACACCUAACAGUUCUUGUAAUUGGAAAACUACCACAUAUUCUGACAUUUAAAUAUUUUUUUAAUCAGUU